AUUGCACAAUGGGCGAAAGCCUGAUGCAGCAACGCCGCGUGAGGGAUGACGGCCUUCGGGUUGUAAACCUCUUUUAGUAGGGAAGAAGCGAAAGUGACGGUACCUGCAGAAAAAGCACCGGCUAACUACGUGCCAGCAGCCGCGGUAAUACGUAGGGUGCAAGCGUUGUCCGGAAUUAUUGGGCGUAAAGAGCUCGUAGGCGGUUUGUCGCGUCUGCUGUGAAAUCCCGAGGCUCAACCUCGGGCUUGCAGUGGGUACGGGCAGACUAGAGUGCGGUAGGGGAGAUUGGAAUUCCUGGUGUAGCGGUGGAAUGCGCAGAUAUCAGGAGGAACACCGAUGGCGAAGGCAGAUCUCUGGGCCGUAACUGACGCUGAGGAGCGAAAGCGUGGGGAGCGAACAGGAUUAGAUACCCUGGUAGUCCACGCCGUAAACGUUGGGCGCUAGAUGUAGGGACCUUUCCACGGUUUCUGUGUCGUAGCUAACGCAUUAAGCGCCCCGCCUGGGGAGUACGGCCGCAAGGCUAAAACUCAAAGGAAUUGACGGGGGCCCGCACAAGCGGCGGAGCAUGCGGAUUAAUUCGAUGCAACGCGAAGAACCUUACCAAGGCUUGACAUACACCGGAAACGGCCAGAGAUGGUCGCCCCCUUGUGGCCGGUGUACAGG
rnacentral:rRNA from 1 species